rfam:Chlorocebus sabaeus isolate 1994-021 chromosome 16, whole genome shotgun sequence.
GCCAGGUACAGGGGCUCCCACCUGUGGUCCCAGCUACUCAGGAGUCUGAGGUGGGAGGAUUGCUUGAGCCUGGGAGUUCUGGGCUGUAGUACACUAUGCCGAUGGGGGGUCAGUAUGGUCCAGGGAGUGGAGUACCACUAGGUUGCCUGAGGAGGGGUAAACUGGCUCAGGUCAGAAACAGAGCAGGUCAAAACUCCCAUGCUGAUCAGUAAUAAGAUCGCGCCUAUGAAUAGCCACUGCACUCCAACCCCAGCCUGGGCAACCUGGCAAGACCUCAUUUCUU